GUUGAGAGGGAGCCCUUGCUUUAAAAAACAAACAAAAACUAUCAUUUUAGAGGAUUUGGGAAUGUAGGUGUUAAGGGCUGCAGCUGAAUUCCCUGGGUUUAAACCCCAACUCUGGCACUUCCUUGCUGUGUGAAUUUGGUUCAAGUUGCUUUUGAACUAUGGUGUUGGAGAAGACUCUUGAGAGUUCCUUGAGAGCAAGAAGAUCGAGUCAGUUAAUCCUAAAGGAAAUCAGUCCUGAAUAUUCAUUGGAAGGACUGAUGCUGAAGCUGAAGCUCCAAUACUUUGGCCACCUGAUGCAAAGAACUGACUCACUGGAAAAGACCCUGGUGCUGGGAAAGAUUGAAGGCAGGAGGAGAAGGCAAUGACAGAGGAUGAGAUGAUUGGAUGGUAUCACCGAUUCAGUGGACAUGAGUUUGAGCAAGCUCUGGGAGUUUGUGAUGGACGGGGAGGCCUGGUGUGCUGCAGUCCAUGGGAUUGAAAAGAGUUGGACACGAUUGAGUGACUGAACUUUCAUCAAGAGGCUCUUUAGUUUUUCUUUGCUUUCUGCCAUAAGGAUGAUGUCAUCUGUGUAGCUGAGUGGCAUCCGACUCUGUGCGACCCCAUAGACGGCAGCCCACCAGGCUCCUCUGUCCAUGGGAUUUUCCAGGCAAGAGUACUGGAGUGGUGUGCUAUUGCCUUCUCCGUGAGCUCUCUUGUGCUCUCCAAUUAUGAGAAAUAAUUAUGAGAAACUUGGACUCAGGACUCAUGUCCUGCCUCAUCUAUUGCAGUACUCCCCCAUUCCCAACCUGCCCCAGGACAAGGCCAUUGAUAACAGAACUGUCAGAGGAAGAGGAGGAUUUGUUCCACAGGACAGUCCCAAGGGCUCUGAAUUCCAUGUCCCCCGCACAUAACAUUGCUUGCUACCCUGAUUACAGGGACUGGAGUCACAGAUAGACAAACAGCUGGACGGUGGAACCCUGAGUUUGAUGUCUUGAUUUUGGUCCUAGAAGCCAGGCAGCCCUUUACCCUCUGUCUGCACUCUGGCCCCAAGUGGCUACACCCCAUCUCAUGUUGAUGGCUCUCCCAUUUGCAUCACCAGCCCAACCUCUCCCCUGAACUUCAGACUCAAAUAUCCACCUGUACUGGGUCUUCUCACUGGGUACCUUGUAAGUAUCUCGCAUUCAGCCAGUCUGAAGCACAGGUCCCAGUUCCUCACCCUGAGAUCAACUUCUUCAUCAGCAUGGCAGGGGAAUGGCUGCACCAUCAUUCUGCUCCCCAGGUCCCCAAACCUCGACUCAUUCUCAUCACUUCUCUUCCUUCACCCCACAUGUCCAGUUCAUCCAGUUGUCCUGUAGGCUCAGACUUCAGAAUGAACCCAAACCUGCCCAGCACUCCUGUGGGUCCUGCCAGCUCCUUCCUGGAUCCUUCCCUGGCCUUCCACCACUUACAUUCCCGCCCUAAACAUCCCUGCUCCCCUGGGCAGCCUCAGAGAGAUCCUUAAAAUGAUAAAUCAGAGAUUCUUAAAAUGACGCUGAGCUCAGCACAGUGCAGUCACCCCUCCCCACCUCCAACCUGGGCAGUUGGGGCAUCAGAGAGAGGUCUGGCAUGGGGUUUGUGGGUGAAGAUGAGGCCUUGUUGGUCACAAAACGCCCAUGGAGUCUCUGGUCCUCCUGGGUCUCUGUUCUGCCCCCCGGGCUGAGGUCUCAUCUCUCCCUCUCGGUCUCCCUCUCUCAGUCUCUCUCUCUGCAUCUCAGACUCCUCCCCAUAUCCCCUAGGCUCUUUAUAACCCUUGCUA
ensembl:lncRNA